CCUACGGGGGGCAGCAGUGAGGAAUAUUGGUCAAUGGGCGGGAGCCUGAACCAGCCAAGUCGCGUGAGGGAAGACGGUCCUAUGGAUUGUAAACCUCUUUAGGCGGGGAGCAAUGCCGGGCACGCGUGCCCGGAGGGAGAGUACCCGCCGAAUAAGCAUCGGCUGACUCCGUGCCAGCAGCCGCGGUAAUACAGAGGUCUCAAGCGUUGUUCGGAAUCACUGGGCGUAAAGCGUGCGUAGGCUGUUUCGUAAGUCGUGUGUGAAAGGCGCGGGCUCAACCCGCGGACGGCACAUGAUACUGCGAGACUAGAGUAAUGGAGGGGGAACCGGAAUUCUCGGUGUAGCAGUGAAAUGCGUAGAUAUCGAGAGGAACACCAGUGGCGAAGGCGGUCUGCUGGACAGCAACUGACGGUGAGGCGCGAAAGCGUGGGGAGCAAACAGGAUUAGAUACCCCGGUAGUC
rnacentral:rRNA from 1 species